UACGGGAGGCGCAGUGGGGAAUAUUGCACAAUGGGCGCAAGCCUGAUGCAGCCAUGCCGCGUGUAUGAAGAAGGCCUUCGGGUUGUAAAGUACUUUCAGUCGUGAGGAGGUGUUAAGGUUAAUAACCUUAGCAAUUGACGUUAGCGACAGAAGAAGCACCGGCUAACUCCGUGCCAGCAGCCGCGGUAAUACGGAGGGUGCGAGCGUUAAUCGGAAUUACUGGGCGUAAAGGGCACGCAGGCGGUUAAUUAAGUUGGAUGUGAAAUCCCCGGGCUUAACCUGGGAAUGGCAUUCAAGACUGGUUAGCUAGAGUCUUGUAGAGGGGGUAGAAUUCCAUGUGUAGCGGUGAAAUGCGUAGAGAUGUGGAGGAAUACCGGUGGCGAAGGCGGCCCCUGGACAAAGACUGACGCUCAUGUGCGAAAGCGUGGGGAGCAAACAGGGAUUAGAUACC
rnacentral:rRNA from 1 species